rnacentral:sRNA from 1 species
CUUUUACCUCGUUGCACUGCUGAGAGCAAGAUGGGUCACCAGCAGCUGUACUGGAGCCACCCGCGAAAAUUCGGCCAGGGUUCUCGCUCUUGUCGCGUCUGUUCAAACCGGCACGGUCUGAUCCGGAAAUAUGGCCUCAAUAUGUGCCGCCAGUGUUUCCGUCAGUACGCGAAGGAUAUCGGUUUCAUUAAGGUAGGCGUCUGCAGACGUACUCCAUGUUGUUUGGGCAGAGAAGGUUGUGGGGGUUCUUUAUUUUUUCCGCGAAAGACAACGGGACAGAUCUUCCCUGGGGUGGUAAUUCUGAGCGUUCGACCAAGAGCUUUUCCUCCUCUUUUAGUUGGUAGCUGGUGACAGUGUUGAUGGUUUGGGCAAUCAGAUUAACAGAAUGGAGAAGGUGAAGGACUUAGUCUUUCCUACUCCCUUUUUUACCUAGAUAGCUUAGCCAGUUUUAGGUGCCGUGUAUUGUGUUGGGUGAAAUUAUUCACUUUACAGAAGCCACUAAAAUUGUUUUACAUUUAUUUCACUUAUCAAUCUGGUAAGUACCUAGUCUCUCUCUUUUUUUGUUUUUAGAGACAGGGUCUCCGUCUGUCGCCCAGGUUGAAGUGCAGUGGCGUUGUUAUGGCCCACUGCAGCC